rnacentral:rRNA from 1 species
AUGCAGUCGCACGGACCUUUCGGGGUGAGUGGCGGACGGGUGAGUAUCGCGUAGGGAUCUAUCCAUGGGUGGGGGAUAACAUCGGGAAACUGGUGCUAAUACCGCAUGAUACCUGAGGGUCAAAGGCGCAAGUCGCCUGUGGAGGAGCCUGCGUUCGAUUAGCUUGUUGGUGGGGUAAAGGCCUACCAAGGCGAUGAUCGAUAGCUGGUCUGAGAGGAUGAUCAGCCACACUGGGACUGAGACACGGCCCAGACUCCCACGGGAGGCAGCAGUGGGGAAUAUUGGACAAUGGGCGAAAGCCUGAUCCAGCAAUGCCGCGUGUGUGAAGAAGGUCUUCGGAUUGUAAAGCACUUUCGACGGGGACGAUGAUGACGGUACCCGUAGAAGAAGCCCCGGCUAACUUCGUGCCAGCAGCCGCGGUAAUACGAAGGGGGCUAGCGUUGCUCGGAAUGACUGGGCGUAAAGGGCGCGUAGGCGGUUUACACAGUCAGAUGUGAAAUUCCAGGGCUUAACCUUGGGGCUGCAUUUGAUACGUGUAGACUAGAGUGUGAGAGAGGGUUGUGGAAUUCCCAGUGUAGAGGUGAAAUUCGUAGAUAUUGGGAAGAACACCGGUGGCGAAGGCGGCAACCUGGCUCAUUACUGACGCUGAGGCGCGAAAGCGUG